AUGGCCGACGACGUCCGCGAGCUCCUUCUCUCGACCACCGCCGACGCCGACCCCUCCACCCCGCUAUCCGCGCCCGACCUCCGCCUCCUCAUCGACCACCUCCGCCACCGCUCCGACCGCCUGCACGCCUCCGCCCUCUCCUUCGCCUCCUCCAACCGCGAGCCGCUCGCCUCCGCGCUCCUCCGAGCCGCCAGCUCCGCGGCCUCGUCAGCGUCCCUCCAGUCCUCCCUCCAGUCGGCGCUCUCCCCGCUCUCCUCCUCCCCGGACCUGUCCGACCUCAGGUCCCUCUCCGAUCGCCUCGUAGCGGCCCGCCGCGAGCUCCGCGAGCGCCAGGAGCACCUCGCUGCCGCAUCCUCCGUAGCUUCUCUCUCUGCGCGGCUUCGCGCCGCUCGCGCCUCAGCCAACCCCCUUGAUGCUGCCGCUGCCGCCGCCGAGCUCAAGCCCCUCCUGGUGAACCCCGAGGGAUCUGGAUCCGGUGGGGACGAGCCAGUCGUGUUUGGGCUUCUUCGGGGUGAAUGGGAGCAGCUCGUAGACGAGCUGCAAGUAGGACUUUCGAAGAAUGUGGAGGAGUGCGUGGAGUUUGCACCGGAGGGAGGGAAGGUAGUGGUGAGGGCUGGACCGAGCGGCAGUUCAAGUGGAACACCCGGUGUUGAGCUUCGUGUGGCGCUGCAGGCAUUGGAAAUAAUCGAUUCUCUAGACUAUGGGAUGGCAAAAGUCGCAGAUUUGAUGGUAAAGCAUGUUUUUAUUCCAGCAAUCAGCAACAUAUCUGUCACAGUUUCUGUAGAAGUGCUUGAGAAAAGUGGCUCCACAUACCCAGCAUCAGUCUUGAGUAUAGUCCCCUCAGAGGAACUACAGGGCUACAAAGAUGGUUCAGUCCUUUACUCAAGAAUAAUUGAUGUCAUCAAGUUUGCUCGCAAGUUCAUUUGUGUGGAAAAUAUCACAUGGAUGCAGUCCUUUGCAAAGUUAACCUGGUCAAGAAUUUCUGAUCUGGUUAUCACACAUUUUCUCUCUAAGGCUGUUCCGGAUGAGGCGUCCAAGCUGAUUGAGUUCCAAGAUGUUAUAAGGAGUACAACUGAAUUUGAGAAUACUCUUAGGGGUAUGAUGUUUAUUUCGCCUGACAGAAAGGAUGGCAAGUUAACCCAAUUUGUUGAUGAUGUUGAAGUUCAUUUUGCUGUAAGGAAGAGAAAUGAGAUCUUAGUGAAAGCAAGAUACAUUCUUGUACAAUAUGACUACAAAAAUCCUCUGAAGUGCUUGCUAUUGCAGGCAUCAGAUGACCAUGGAGAUUCUGUUGUUGAUUUACUUUUCCAGCCAGAGAAGUGUUUUAUAUCUAAAUCAGCACUUCAGUUAAUGAAAUUGGUCCAUGGAGCCCUCAAGGAUGCUUGUUUGUCGUCCGCAAGAGUCGCAAAGGAGUUUUGCUGUGCUGCUAGGGAUGCCUUGCUCUUGUAUAAGGCUAUUGUGCCAGUUCAGCUAGAGAAGCAACUCAAUAGUAUCAGUCCGGUGGCUGCCAUCCUUCACAAUGACUUCUACCAUUUAUCCCAAGAAAUUCUUGGUCUUGCAUUUGAGUACCGUGCAGAUUUUCCUAGUGGUCAACAAAAACUAGUUGUUUUUGUGGAUUUAGCUCCAAUCUUCUCCCAGAUGGCAGAUGGUAUACUGAGAAGACAAAUACAGUUUGCAACGGCUAACUUAAGCGAGGCUAUAGAUGGCGCUGAUGGUUUUCAGAACACGCACCAAUCUCAGCAUUGUGAAUCAGCAAAAUUUAGUAUUGAGCAGGUGGUGUUCAUUUUAGAGAAGAUACACAUUAUGUGGGAAUCGGUACUGCCUAGGUCAAUUUAUAGGAGAAGUAUGUUUCAUGUCCUUGGACCUGUCUUUUCUAGAAUUACAAAGGACAUGCUUCUGAUAGAUGACAUGGCAGCAGAGGAGACCUUGCAGCUGCAAGGCCUUAUACAUUUGGCUCUUGAAAACCUCUCCUCACUAUUUCUGUCCCUGGUUGAGAAUGAUGAUGAUAAGUUCUUGGAUCAUCAUACCUGGGUCCAGCUGGAUGAGAGUAUACCAUCGUUGAAGAAGUUCCGAAAACUAGCAGAGUUGCUUGAUAUGUCGUUGAAGUCCAUCACAGCUGCUUGGGAAAGCGGGGAGCUAGCUAACUGUGGUUUCACAUCAUCUGAGAUGCGGAAUUUCAUCAAAGCAAUUUUCGCCGAUUCACCUCUUCGAAAGGAGUGCUUAGGCUGGAUCGCCGCGAACCCAGCUUAG
rnacentral:rRNA from 1 species